rnacentral:rRNA from 1 species
UACGUAGGGAGCAAGCGUUGUCCGGAAUCAUUGGGCGUAAAGCGCACGUAGGCGGCUUCUUAAGUCAGGGGUGAAAUCCUGGAGCUCAACUCCAGAACUGCCUUUGAUACUGAGAGGCUUGAGUCCGGGAGAGGUGAGUGGAACUGCGAGUGUAGAGGUGAAAUUCGUAGAUAUUCGCAAGAACACCAGUGGCGAAGGCGGCUCACUGGCCCGGUACUGACGCUGAGGUGCGAAAGCGUGGGGAGCAAACAGG